rnacentral:rRNA from 1 species
AGUGAACGCUGGCGGUAGGCCUAACACAUGCAAGUCGAACGGCAGCACAGUAAGAGCUUGCUCUUACGGGUGGCGAGUGGCGGACGGGUGAGGAAUACAUCGAAAUCUACUUUUUCGUGGGGGAUAACGUAGGGAAACUUACGCUAAUACCGCAUACGACCUACGGGUGAAAGCAGGGGAUCUUCGGACCUUGCGCGAUUGAAUGAGCCGAUGUCGGAUUAGCUAGUUGGCGGGGUAAAGGCCCACCAAGGCGACGAUCCGUAGCUGGUCUGAGAGGAUGAUUAGCCACACUAGAACUGAGACACGUUCCAGACUCCUACGGGAGGCAGCAGUGGGGAAUAUUGGACAAUGGGCUCAAGCCUGAUCCAGCCAUACCGCGUGGGUGAAGAAGGCCUUCGGGUUGUAAAGCCCUUUUGUUGGUAAAGAAAGGCAGCAGGUUAAUACCCCGCUGUUCUGACGUUACCAAAAGAGUAAGCACCGGCUAACUUCGUG